rnacentral:pre_miRNA from 1 species
UUUGUAGUAUAUGUGUAUCCCAUGCAAUAUUUGGGACAUACUUAUGCUACAA